CUUACUAAUGUAUCUGCCGUAACAAAGGAGAGAUGGCAGGCGCAAACGCUCGGGCGCAGAUGGCUCCUAUGCCGGCUUUUCAGGGGAGGGGAGAACCCCUUUAUAUAUAUUUAUUUAUUUAUUUAAAUUUUUUAAAAUAUAACAUAAAUAUUCGGCUCUCGGCCGCCGGGCAGCCAGUCCUCGCGGGCGGCUGGGCGCGCAGCCCGCUCCGCCACCCGCUGCCGGCCCCAGCCCGAGGAGGUGGCUCGCUCGGGCGCAUUUUGCAGGCACCCGACCUGCCCGCAGUCUCCAUGGCACCCCGAGGAUGUUUUUCUUUCUCUUGCAAUAAUAAAAAAGAAACGUGGUUUUUUCUUUUUUUUUACGGAAAAAAAAAAUAAAUAGAAAGCCAAGGAAGAGCGAGGGGGAAACGCGGCUGGCUGCGGCGACCGAGCGACGCGGGCACGGCGAGAGAGGCAAGGGCGGCGGCGGGGAGCGCGGCGCGGGCGCGCGGAGCCCCGCGGCCGGGGGAGCGGCCGUGCCGGGCGGGCAGCGGGCAGCGGGCACCACCGGGCAGCGGGCACCGCGGCGGCCCCGGCCCGGCGCCCGCCCGCGCGCCCGCGCGCCGCUGCCCCUUUCCAAAGAAACCAGCCGGGCGCUGCCGCUGGAGACGCGCGGGCCGGGGCCGGGCCCUCGGCGACCCGCCUUGUUUAUCGCGCGGAGAGGAGAGCGCCCGGCGGCGGGAACAAUUAGAGAGCUGAGGAGGUAGCACGGCUGUUUGGGGACCCUCUGGAUAUUGCACCCAGACCACACAUUCCGGCGGCGAAGGAACACAGUCGUGUAGAAAGCGUUAGUGGGCCAGGCUCUCCUCGCCGCUUUUGGGGAAUCGACUUGUCGAUGUUGCUGGCAGAAACUCCCACUCCCGUGGAAAUCUAUCACGCACCUUAAUGAGCUCGGUACCCAAAGGCACCCCCCAGCGGGAAGCCAGAGCAGGAGGGAGCCAGGUGUCACCCCCAGGCUCUCCUGUCUGUCCCCAGCCCCGCCCCCCUCCCUCAGUUUCCCCACCAGGACACCUGGGCUGGCUGUGCAGAUUGUCGCAUCCUGGCUGUCACAUCCCAGACCCAGGGGACGCGACGGAGAGUGACCACGUGGUCCCGGCGGCCCCGUCAGGAUGGAACGAGGAUGCGGUGACACCAAGCUGUUGGCGACGGUGUCGAGAGCCUUUUCCUGAGCCAACCGUUCCACCUGGACCUCGGUACAAAUUAUUGUUUUCCAUUACCACCUGUGUAUUCCUUCCAUGCAAGUUAUUGAUGUAAAAUUACAGCUACACCGGUAUAAAUAAGUUAUGCCACCGUUGUAAAAUGGAAGAAAUUUUGUUGUAGCAAUUAUGUUCAGCAAGAUGACAAAAUAAAUUUCCAGAGCUGUGCCUGCA